AUUGAACGCUGGCGGCAUGCCUUACACAUGCAAGUCGAACGGCAGCACGGGAGCAAUCCUGGUGGCGAGUGGCGAACGGGUGAGUAAAGUAUCGGAACGUGCCCAGUCGUGGGGGAUAACGUAGCGAAAGUUACGCUAAUACCGCAUACGAUCUAUGGAUGAAAGCGGGGGAUCGCAAGACCUCGCGCGAUUGGAGCGGCCGAUAUCAGAUUAGGUAGUUGGUGGGGUAAAGGCUCACCAAGCCGACGAUCUGUAGCUGGUCUGAGAGGACGACCAGCCACACUGGGACUGAGACACGGCCCAGACUCCUACGGGAGGCAGCAGUGGGGAAUUUUGGACAAUGGGCGAGAGCCUGAUCCAGCCAUGCCGCGUGCAGGAUGAAGGCCUUCGGGUUGUAAACUGCUUUUGUACGGAGCGAAAAGGUUUGGCCUAAUAAGCUGAGCUCAUGACGGUACCGUAAGAAUAAGCACCGGCUAACUACGUGCCAGCCGCCGCUGUAA
rnacentral:rRNA from 1 species